rnacentral:rRNA from 1 species
CAGGGAAUCUUCCACAAUGGGCGAAAGCCUGAUGGAGCAACGCCGCGUGUGUGAUGAAGGGUUUCGGCUCGUAAAACACUGUUGUAAGAGAAGAAUGACAUUGAGAGUAACUGUUCAAUGUGUGACGGUAUCUUACCAGAAAGGAACGGCUAAAUACGUGCCAC